GGUUGUGGCUUAGUGGUAGAGCACUUGCCUAGCAUGUAUGAGGCACUGGGUUCAAUUCUCAGCACCA
rnacentral:tRNA from 1 species